UGGGCCUACAGGCAUACAUCAGCAGGCCUGGGUCUAUUUUUUUAGUCUUACUUGACGAUAGUAAUCACAUUUAUCCUCUGGGUUCAUGAAGUAUGGUAUUUCAGUUGAUUUGUACAGUAGGUAAUGAUCAGCAUUUUCUUUCACUCCAUAGAGUAAAAUUUUAAAACAACAUUUCUCAUUAUAAGUUUUAGGGUUUGUUUGCUCCAUGUCUGCCAAGUCACACAUUUCAAAAGCAGCACAGCUAUAUGUAGUAAUUGCGUUCCUUUUGCUGCGAUAAAACGUCAUGACCAAAGCAACAUGUAGAAGAAAGAGCUUACGAUUAUGCUAUGGUUCCAGAGGGUCAGAGUGCAUCUCUGUUAACCCAGGGGAGCAUGGCAGCAGGCAGCCGUGGCAACCAGAGCCAGAAGCUGAGAGCAGGAGGACUCACAUUUGAAACCACAGAUGGGAAGCACAGAGGGCAAACUCAAAUGGCCAAGCCCAUGCCCAGUGACUUAGCUCCAGCAAGGCCACCCUUCCUAAACAUGCCCAAACAGCUACCAGCUGGGACCAAGUAUGCAGAUACUGGAGAUUAUGAGGGACAACUUAUUCAAACCACCACACCACAGCAGCCACAUCAUUUGUUUUUAAUUGAGGCUCAUAAAAAACUGUC
rnacentral:lncRNA from 1 species